UAGACACUAUCAUGAUUUUGGACAUUUUUGUAGUCAUGUUAAUGGUCUUACCAUUGCCACAUGCUCUCACGGCAAAUGGGUCUACUUUGGACAUGUGCCGCCCUAGUACCGGGAGUGGUUCUACGCCAAUCAGAGUGACUCCUGAAUAUGAAGUCCCGGUUUAUCUGGCAGAAUAUCCCGCCGUUUCCAACCUCAACUGUCUCGCGUACUGCCCAUCUUACAAUAACUGCCAGUCCACGUACUUUGAUGGACGCGCCAAGAAAUGUUACAUUCUUGAUAUUCAGCAAGAGACGACUGGGUAUGAGACGAGCAGCGUGGUGGAGAGUGGAGGGGUGGUGACCAAUCUGCAGGCGCAGGCGGUAAACGCACUCGUGGAGUCAACCUACAGCGAGUGUGCCAACUCUCCUUGUUCAGAGGCGGGCCGAUGUCGGGCCACGUGUGACACCAGGGAGGUCUACUGUGUAGGCGACCUGUCGGACUGUGAAGAGACGCCUUUUUCUAACAUAUACGAGUGGACCACGACGACCUCCAAGAGUGUCGGCACUGAAACUGUGUUUACUAUUUCUUACACCAAAAAGAAAGGAGUCGAAACAGGUCUGUACCUCAAAAUGGAGUGGGACCACGAGAUCAGCGGUAAACACGGCGCAUGGGUGCACGUACUGGGUCUUCAUGAUUGACGGAUCAGAAUGUGCUGAUCCUGGACGCAUCCGGUUCACAGAGUUUAAUCACGAGUCUAGAAACCACUUGA